UCUCUCCAAAUAGCAACAACCAAUUAGAUGCCUCCCCCUCCCCUUCUCAAUGCUCUCUUACUUGUGAUGUAAUUUCUUGUAUAAAAGCUAUGUAUCUUUACUACUUCUUUAGCCCUCCUACUGCGGGCUCUUUCUUACCUCACAAUGGGGCGGCUCAUCCUCUGAAGUUUUCAAUAAACAACUUUUCUGCCUUCUACUGAAUGAUCUCCAUGUAGUCAUUUUGGACAAUGACCUGAGGCAGGGAUACUCAGUGGAACGCAGAAUUGAAGACUGAAGGAAGUAGAGUCCUGAUGGCCGGCAUUUGCAGCCUGAAAAGAACCACGUGUUCUCCAGUGGCUUUGCAGGAAGGGGGAGAGAAGGGGAAAAAAAUAGAUUGAAAGUUUGGAAAGUUUUGAGAAAAUAGAAGAACAGUGACUAUCACCCCUGUAAACAAGGAACCUAUUAUCAGGACUCCGGCAGAGAAGAAAAUUCUCAAGGUAAAGGAAGGAUCAGUGCUUAACUCUUUUCUGGCUUACUAAAGAAAAGAAGUUUGAAUGGAAUAUCUAGGUAGAUUUUAGGAAAUUUCACAAACUAAAGUACUGGUUAAUUUUAAAAUAACUUUAAAUUGGUGUGUGUGUUAAGAUUGGAAACAAGAAAUGAUAGAUAUUUGAAGGGAAGAAUAAAAAUAGAUUAAGAGAGGUAAAUAGCUGAAUAUGGGGGCUCUCUGACCUGUUGGAUCUGUGGGAAAACUAGGGAUACUUCUAAAAAGAGAAAAAAAAUUUCCCAGGAGAAGAAAGAAAAAUCAUUAUUAGCAAGUUUGCUUUCAUGGAAUUAGAGAAGAGAAAGUUUAAAAAGGCUAAACUGGGUAAUUGUCUGCAAUAUAGUAAAUCCCCCCAAAUCUUAAAGAGGUACUAUAAUUUUGAAAUUGAAAUAAAAUCGAAAUUGAAAUAAUUUUGAAAUAAUUUUACUGUUGCCUUGCACAUGUUAGAUUUAUUCUGGGUAAAAAUCUUACGAAUUGAUUGAAUAUUGUGGCCUUUACAACUGAAGAGAAACUUUUUUUAUUAUUUGAUUGGACUUCAAAUUGAAAUAUAGGUUAUUAAACAAAAUACCAGUAACUUACCUUGGGGGGAGGGGGGUUGUGUUUGUAUCUCCCUACUUAAAUUGUAUGUUGCUUUUUAUUUGUAAUUUGUGAACUAUAUUAUGAGUUUUAUGAAAUUUGGUUCAAAAUUAAUUGUGAAUCUUGAAGUUUAAAGUUUAAAAAGGUGAUUUAAAGACAAGGGAAAAGAGAUUGAUUUACAAAAGCAAUUAAUAGUUUAAAUGGAGCAUCUAGUCAGAAGGGUUUGGGAGUGUUUAAAGUAUGUGAUAAGGUUUGAGCAAAUGGGCCAUUGGAAAGAGAGAGAGAGGUGGCACUAGAAUGAAGGUGAUUUAAGAAGGAUUGAUUAGUAGGAGCAAAUGAUUUCAAGAAGAAAUCAGUGGAAAAAGAAGGAACUGGUUGGAAAGGGUAGUCAGAGAAAUGGCUGUGAGAUGGAAUGCGUUUUUGCAGGGGAAGAGCAGCAGAGCAGUAGUGGAAAGCUGCAGCCGCUUUUGACUGAAGAAAAACUGAUUUAAAGGGACAAGCUGCUCUUGCAAGAUGGUGAUUGAAUAUUUGUUUCUUUAAUAUUCAUAACCAUUAUGUAUCUAAAGAAUAUGAUCAGAAAUGUGGUAUAUAUAGUUUGAAAGGGUUAUUUC